UUUAGAUGGUGGACGUCUUUAUUUUCUUCAUCUACUUUGCCUUAGGAAAGUCUCUUGGGUAACCACCAAACUUCACACUCACACAAUGGGCCCCAGUAAAACAGUGGGCCCUGGUAAGCACAUUACUUUCCCUUUAGGUGCACUAAGAUAGGAAAGCUAAAAGAAGACUCAGGGGGUAUGCCUGCAGCUGCAGGAAGAUGUAUACAAAAACUCUCCCUCCCACAUAAGCAAGACAAAGAGACACAGAAACAUUCGAAGCCUGUGAUAAGUGGCUUUCUAUGGCUAACUGCCCCUAAACCGUGAAGUGUUCCAACUAAUAAACACAGGUACAAAGGAAUUGAAAACAUAGCCCUUUGUUGAAUAAGAAAUAGUCUACUUGAAGAGGAGAAGAAUCAAGAUUCAAAAAGUGCUUGCUCUUUCCGAACAUAGACUUUGGGAGUAAAUCUUUUGUGCUCCUCAUGACAAUCACACACGCAAAUAAUAUUGGAAAGAAAGACUAAAUAUAAAUUAAUUUGCUGCUAUUUAUUGGAUACCUACUCUGUGCUGGUCACUGGGAUAAGGGUUCUUACAGGGUAAGUUAUGAAGAAACUGAAAGUUAGAGGAAGGAAUGGAGGGAUGAGAACAGCCAAGGCUGGAAAAUACCCCAGGGCCCAACAAAGGAAAGGUAGAGUUAGAACCAUUCCUUUUCAAUUGUAUCACCAUGAAGACUCCUGAGAGGUGAGAUUUCCUUCAAUCAUCCUGACCAAGACUCUUCUUUCUGCACCGUUGGUUCUCUGUACUUGAUCUAUCGUAGUAUCAAACAUGUUGUCCUGUUUUAGUAAACUGAG
rnacentral:lncRNA from 1 species